UCUCGGCUUAUCACCGGCAGUCCCCCGACAGCCAUGCAGCACCUGUGCAUGGGCUCCGAAGAGGGGCCCCCGUUUCUGAGGGCUUUCCCAUGUAUGUCAAGCCUAGGUAAGGUUCUUCGCGUUGCGUCGAAUUAAACCACAUGCUCCACCGCUUGUGCGGGCCCCCGUCAAUUCCUUUGAGUUUCAGCCUUGCGGCCGUACUCCCCAGGCGGGGCACUUAAUGCGUUAGCGCCGGCCCUCGGGGGGUCGCUCCCCCAAGCGCCUAGUGCCCAUCGUUUACGGCGUGGACUAC
rnacentral:misc_RNA from 1 species